UACGAAGGGGACUAGCGUUGUUCGGAAUCACUGGGCGUAAAGCGCACGUAGGCGGAUUUGUAAGUCAGGGGUGAAAAUCCCGGGGCUCAACCUCGGAACUGCCUUUGAUACUGCGAAUCUUGAGUCCGAUAGAGGUGGGUGGAAUUCCUAGUGUAGAGGUGAAAAUUCGUAGAUAUUAGGAAGAACACCGGUGGCGAAGGCGGCCCACUGGAUCGGUACUGACGCUGAGGCGCGAAAGCGUGGGGAGGCAAACAGG
rnacentral:rRNA from 1 species